rnacentral:rRNA from 1 species
UACGGAGGGUGCAAGCGUUAUCCGGAUUCACUGGGUUUAAAGGGUGCGUAGGUGGGUUUGUAAGUCAGUGGUGAAAUCUCCGUGCUUAACAUGGAACUGCCAUUGAUACUAUAUGAUCUUGAAUUUUCUGGAGAUAGCGGAAUAUGUCAUGUAGCGGAUGAAAUGCUUAGAUAUGACAUAGAAACACCAAUUGCGAAGGCAGCUAUCUAGCAGGGAUAUUGACACUGAGGCACGAAAGCGUGGGGAUCAAACAGG